CUGAAUUGGAAGUGUAGCUCCUGGGCUUCUUUUAGCUGAGGUCUGUGUAAGCCUCAGAGGCAGUGUUUGAGGAAGUCCAGUGCCACUAACCUUGUCUGAGUCUAUUGAAGCUGAGGUCAUCAAGCCAGUCAAGCAGCAAGUGCACAUCCCAAUUGAGGCUAACAGUCAAACUCAGCAAACAGAUGAAGCUGCUGAUAGGAGACACCACUGAAGAAAAUAAUCACUCUCCUGAAGGCACUGCCACAAUUUCAUUAAGAUUCCUAAACAUGGUGUGGAGAAGAUGGCAUGCAUUUCUCCUGUAGAGCAUGGGGUCCACGCUCUCCUUCUGGAGCAGUGGAAGGAACAGGGAAAAGCUCCUGCAAUGACAGACAAUU